UACGUAGGGUCCGAGCGUUGUCCGGAAUUAUUGGGCGUAAAGGGCUCGUAGGCGGUUUGUCGCGUCGGGAGUGAAAACACCGGGCUUAACUCGGUGCUUGCUUUCGAUACGGGCAGACUAGAGGUAUGCAGGGGAGAACGGAAUUCCUGGUGUAGCGGUGAAAUGCGCAGAUAUCAGGAGGAACACCGGUGGCGAAGGCGGUUCUCUGGGAAUGUCCUGACGCUGAGGAGCGAAAGUGUGGGGAGCGAACAGG
rnacentral:rRNA from 1 species